UUAUUUCAAAAAUCGGUAAAAUUUGGAAUCAUCAAAAAUUGACUUAUUACAAAUCUAAUAGUAAUUUUUCUUAAAAAUAUAGUGUUUUCUGCGCUCGCCACUAGAGGGCCAUCCAGGUUAUGUACUUUCUCACAAGUCCCUGUUUAAUCAUCCAUCAAAGACCUAAGGCUUGAAUGGGACACCCUGGAAGUUGAACACCCUAUUGCAAUCUUCUUUGAAGCAUGCUUUAUUACAAAAAUUCAGAGUUGGCUGCUGAAUUCUGGGAAUAGAAAUCUAAGUGCUGAGUAUAGAAUUCUUUAUAUAAACAUUGAGAUUCCAAAACCAAUGUUUGAAAAUUGAGAACUGGUGAUACAGAAUGGAACAUCCUCCUGAGAGUUGCAUUUGAAAGGACAUUAUAGACCUUUUCCCAGGAUCUGGAUUCGCGUUUUCCGCACACUGGACGCUCUUCUUUUUUUUCUUCAUUUCACAAACGUCACGUUGCAUGGCAACAAGCCUCUCUGGACCGGCCGGUGGAUCUUAGCGGGCUACUAUACGGGCUGGUGCGCAGCGACCAGUGCACGUGCUUGUAAAUUGUCGAGCGAUUCAGUUGUGCAGGCAUCUGGAACGAGAAGAUGAAGAAAACCAUGAGAAACCAUGAAGGACUUCUUCCUAUGACGUUAAAACGCUUUAGGAAGUCCUGGAAGAAAACAGGAAAUCCUGAGAAAUUAUUUUUCAAAAACAUUCUCAAUGUCGAUAGAGAAUUUUUGUACAGGUGUAUAAAUUAUUAGUAUUAUGCAUUUUUAAUUAAUAAUUUUAAUAUUUUCUCGCGGUUUUGAACAUUUGAAAAGUGCUAAGACAAUAUAAUAACAAUAAACAUUAUUUCAAUAAUUGGAAUUGUUAUAGCUCUUUAAAAAUAAAUCUUUAAUUAAAAUAAAAGGCACCGAAUUAAUUUGUACACCUAAUAGAUUAGGAAGCGCUGGUUGAAUGAAAUAGGAGACAGGAAAUGAACAGUUCCAACGACCCUAUUUUCAUAACACACUCGAUGAAUGCUAAACUCCUGAUUAUGUUAAAUCAACCAUGAAAUUUUGACCUGUAUUUAAUCCGGAUCCACUUCAGGGACUAUUAACCACCGCAAAUUACCUCAGCCUAAUCAAUAACCCAAAUUCUAGAUUUUAUGAGAAGAAGGAUUUCAAUUUUUAAUGCUGAGAUAUUCAUAGACUUUGAAUAUAUGAACUUAGAAAUUGAAGAAUUCCAAUAUUUUCAAAGCUGAUAAACUUAAGAAGUUUGGAACCCAGAAACUCCCAAGUUGAAGAACCUUAGAAUUUAAAAGUGUACAAGCUUUAAAAUCUCGAGAAUUCAAGAAUUAGUAGCUUUAAGAACUCAUGACUUCAAUUUAGAAACUUAGAAAUUGAAGAAUUCCAAUAUUUUCAAAGCUGAUGAACUCAGGAAAUUUGGAACCCAGAAGCUCCCAAGUUGAAGAACCUUAGAAUUUAAAAGCCUGCAAGCUUUAAAAUCUCAAGAAUUCAAGAAUUAGUAGGUUCAAGAACUCAGGACUUCAAUUUAGAAACUUAGAAAUUGAAGAAUUCCAAUAUUUUCAAAGCUGAUGAAUUCAGGAAGUUUGGAACCCAGAAGUUCCCAAGUUGAAGAACCUUAGAAUUUAAAAGCCUGCAAGCUUUAAAAUCUCAAGAACUCAAGAUUUAGUAGGUUUAAGAACUCAGGACUUCAAUUUAGAAACUUAGAAAUUGAAGAAUUCCAAUAUUCUCAAAGCUGAUAAACUUAGGAAACUUGGAACCCAGAAGCUCCUAAGCUGAACAACCUAGAAUUUGAAAGCCUGCAAGCUUUAAAAUCUCAAGAACUCAAGAAUUAGUAGGUUUAAGAACUCAGGACUUCAAUUUAGAAACUUAGAAAUUGAAGAAUUCCAAUAUUUUCAAAGCUGAUGAAUUCAGGAAGUUUGGAACCCAGAAGUUCCCAAGUUGAAGAACCUUAGAAUUUAAAAGCCUGCAAGCUUUAAAAUCUCAAGAACUCAAGAUUUAGUAGGUUUAAGAACUCAGGACUUCAAUUUAGAAACUUAGAAAUUGAAGAAUUCCAAUAUUCUCAAAGCUGAUAAACUUAGGAAACUUGGAACCCAGAAGCUCCUAAGCUGAACAACCUAGAAUUUGAAAGCCUGCAAGCUUUAAAAUCUCAAGAACUCAAGAAUUAGUAGGUUUAAGAACUCAGGACUUCAAUUUAGAAACUUAGAAAUUGAAGAAUUCCAAUAUUUUCAAAGCUGAUAAACUCAGGAAGUUUGGAGCCCAGAAGCUCCCAAGCUGAACAACCUAGAAUUUAAAAGCCUGCAAGCUUUAAAAUCUCAAGAACUCAACAAUUAGUAGGUUUAAGAACUCAGGACUUCAAUUUAGAAACUUAGAAAUUGAAGAAUUCCAAUAUUUUCAAAGCUGAUAAACUCAGGAAGUUUGGAGCCCAGAAGCUCCCAAGCUGAAGAACCUUAGAAUUUAAAAGCCUGCAAGCUUUAAAAUCUCAAGAACUCAAGAAUUAGUAGCUUCAAGAACUCAGGACUUCAAUUUAGAAACUUAGAAAUUGAAGAAUUCCAAUAUUUUCAAAGCUGAUAAACUUAGGAAACUUGGAACCCAGAAGCUCCUAAGCUGAACAACCUAGAAUUUAAAAAUAGAAUUUAAAUUGUUAAAUUAUGGUCGUUGAAUCUUAAGUAUUUAAUUUAAUUUAAUUGUACAAUAAUUAAAUUUACUUUAAUUGUACAAUAAGUUCAUGCAAUCUGAGAUACAUGGAAUGUACAAUAAGUUGAAAUUGAGAGAUUGGACAUAAUUUGACAAUCUACAAUAGGUGCUCAGUGUACCAGGUAGAUAGAACAGAUUGGAGCUGACUUAACAGGACCUUGGGAGCACGUUGGCUCGCUAUAAGCGGCUGUAUUUCCGGGCUAGGUAGCCGACAACCGGUCUAUCCGAUGAGCUGGUCCCUUCUAUUCACACCAGAAACUGUCCACCUUGCUGGUGGACUGGUCAGGUGAUUAAAGUGCAGCCAAGUGCGGUUCGUCGCUGAGAAUUGUAAAUGCUUGUCCUUGCAGAUGGAAUACAUUGAAGAUGGAACGUCCUCGACGAUUCUUAAUUUAUAAUUAAAUUCAGAUUCACUCAGAUGAAGAGAAAAUGUAUGCAGAGAAGAAUUAUGGCUUGAAACGAAACUGGAUAUUUAUAUUUGAUGAAUGGUUAAAUGAAAGUUCUUUUUUUUUUUUUUCAUG